rnacentral:rRNA from 1 species
GACGAACGCUGGCGGCGUGCUUAACACAUGCAAGUCGAACGGAAAGGCCCUGCUUUUGUGGGGUGCUCGAGUGGCGAACGGGUGAGUAACACGUGAGUAACCUUCCCUUGACUUUGGGAUAACUUCAGGAAACUGGGGCUAAUACCGGAUAGGAGCUCCUGCUGCAUGGUGGGGGUUGGAAAGUUUCGGCGGUUGGGGAUGGACUCGCGGCUUAUCAGCUUGUUGGUGGGGUAGUGGCUUACCAAGGCUUUGACGGGUAGCCGGCCUGAGAGGGUGACCGGCCACAUUGGGACUGAGAUACGGCCCAGACUCCUACGGGAGGCAGCAGUGGGGAAUAUUGCACAAUGGGCGGAAGCCUGAUGCAGCAACGCCGCGUGCGGGAUGACGGCCUGCGGGUUGUAAACCGCUUUCGCCUGUGACGAAGCGUGAGUGACGGUAAUGGGUAAAGAAGCACCGGCUAACUACGUG